rnacentral:rRNA from 1 species
ACGCUCGACACCUACGGGAGGCAGCAGUUGGGAAUAUUGGACAAUGGAGGAAACUCUGAUCCAGUGACGCCGCGUGAAGGAAGAAGGUCUUCGGAUUGUAAACUUAUUUUGUCAGGGAAGAAAAAUGACUGUACCUGAAGAAAAGCACCGGCUAACUACGUGCCACAGCCGCGGUAAUCUGAGCGGGCUGGCAAGGC